rnacentral:tRNA from 1 species
GCCCGGGUGGCGGAACCGGUAGACGCUGGGGACUUAAAAUCCCUUGCCGUAUCGGCGUGCGGGUUCGAGUCCCGCCCCGGGCACCA